CAAAAUCUGCAGAGCUGGGAAGAUUGUAUCCAGGUGAUCCAGGUAAAGUAAUUACCUACCAAAAGUACAGAGAGAACCUAAUGAGAGACCUGCUGGAGGAGCACCACACCCCUCGGCGCCCAUCCACUGGGGGCCGUCCUGCUGCAGACAAUCCCCUAUGCCUCACUGCCCAGAAUUUUCACUGCAAAGUCUGCCUGUCUGGCACCAAGAGAAGGAAACAGAGGAGGUUGACAAAGUACAUGUGUUUAGCUUGUGACACAUCUCUAUGUGUUUCACCAUGCUUUGGGAAUACCAUAUGCUCAAGCACUAUUGAGUACAUCUGCAGCAAUUACUGACUGACUGACCUGACAGGUGGUUUGACAGGUGACCUGCCAUGAUAUUAUGCCUUUAGAGGUGGGGGAUGGAAAUGCAGUUGUUGUUCAAUCACUGCAUGAAUAUGAAAUAUGGGUUAUGCAUAUUCAGUUUUUUUUCCUCUGGUAAAACAAGUUGUUGGUCAACCAUCACCAAUACGUCAAUAAAAUAGACGACUAUUA